rnacentral:rRNA from 1 species
UACGUAGGGUGCGAGCGUUAAUCGGAAUUACUGGGCGUAAAGCGUGCGCAGGCGGUUUUGUAAGCCAGAUGUGAAAUCCCCCGGGCUUAACCCAGAACGGCCAGCUGAUACUGCUUUGCUAGAGUGCAGAAGGGGCAAUCGGAAUUCUUGGUGUAGCGGUGAAAUGCGUAGAUAUCAAGAGGAACACCUGAGGUGAAGACGGGGUUGCUGGGCUGACACUACGCUGAGGCGCGAAAGCGUGGGGAGCGAACAGG